GACGCUGAGGAACGAAAGCCGGGGGAGCAAAUGGGAUUAGAUACCCCAGUAGUCCCGGCCGUAAACGAUGGAUACUAGGUGUUGCGGGUAUCGACCCCUGCAGUGCCGCAGCCAACGCGAUAAGUAUCCCGCCUGGGGAGUACGCACGCAAGUGUGAAACUCAAAGGAAUUGACGGGGACCCGCACAAGCGGUGGAACAUGUGGUUUAAUUCGAAGCAACGCGAAGAACCUUACCAGGGCUUGACAUCUAAGGAAUCUUGAUGAAAGUUGAGAGUGCCCUUCGGGGAGCCUUAAGACAGGUGGUGCACGGCUGUCGUCAGCUCGUGUCGUGAGAUGUUGGGUUAAGUCCCGCAACGAGCGCAACCCUCGUUAUUAGUUGCUUGUAUCGGUAUACUGAUGCAGAGCUCUCUAAUAAGACUGCCGAUGAUAAAUCGGAGGAAGGUGGGGACGACGUCAAGUCAUCAUGCCCCUUAUGCUCUGGGCUACACACGUGUUACAAUGGCAAGGACAGCGAGCAGCGAGCUUGUGAAAGUAAGCAAAUCUCUUAAACCUUGUCUCAGUUCGGAUUGCAGUCUGCAACUCGACUGCAUGAAGUCGGAA
rnacentral:rRNA from 1 species